rnacentral:rRNA from 1 species
CUUUACUGUAGCUUUGUAUUGGACUUUGAAUAGAUCUGUGUAGGAUAGGUGGGAGGCUUUGAAGUGUGGUCGCUAGAUCACAUGGAGCCAACGUUGAAAUACCACCCUGGUGUGUUUGAGGUUCUAACCUUGGCCCAUGAUCUGGGCUGGGGACAGUGCAUGGUAGGCAGUUUGACUGGGGCGGUCUCCUCCCAAAGUGUAACGGAGGAGUUCGAAGGUACGCUAGUUACGGUCGGACAUCGUGACGAUAGUGCAAUGGCAUAAGCGUGCUUAACUGCGAGACUGACAAGUCGAGCAGAUGCGAAAGCAGGACAUAGUGAUCCGGUGGUUCUGUAUGGAAGGGCCAUCGCUCAACGGAUAAAAGGUA